GCUGGGCAUGGUGGCCCACGCCUGUAAUCCCAGCAACUCAGGAGGCUGAGGCAGGAGGAUCACAAGUUUGAGGCCAGCCUUGACAACUCAGGCCCUAAGCAAUUUAGGGAGACCCUGUCUCAA
rnacentral:sRNA from 1 species